CAGCACCUCAAGUGGUCAGGAUGAUUAUUGGGCCUAAAGCAUCCGUAGCCGGCUCUGUAAGUUUUCGGUUAAAUCAGUAUGCUCAACAUACAGGCUGCCGGGAAUACUGCAGAGCUAGGGAGUGGGAGAGGUAGACGGUACUCGGUAGGAAGGGGUAAAAUCCUUUGAUCUAUUGAUGACCACCUGUGGCGAAGGCGGUCUACCAGAACACGUCCGACGGUGAGGGAUGAAAGCUGGGGGAGCAAACCGGAUUAGAUACCCGAGUAGUCC
rnacentral:rRNA from 1 species